rnacentral:rRNA from 1 species
GACGUAGGAUGCGAGCGUUGUCCGGAUUUAUUGGGCGUAAAGAGUUCGUAGGUGGUUUGUUAAGUCUGGUGUUAAAGAUCGGGGCUCAACCCCGGGACAGCACUGGAUACUGGCAGACUGGAGUGCAGUAGAGGCAAGCGGAAUUCCAGGUGUAGCGGUGAAAUGCGUAGAUAUCUGGAAGAACACCGGUGGCGUAAGCGGCUUGCUGGGCUGUAACUGACACUGAGGAACGAAAGCCAGGGUAGCGAAUGGG